rnacentral:misc_RNA from 1 species
GUGAAUCAUCAAAUUUUUGAACGCAAAUUGCGCUUCCUGGCAUCCCGGGAAGUAUGCCUGUUUGAGGGUCAGUAUUAAUAAAAAAUCGGUUUGGUUCCAAAUUGUGCCGUUUCCGGAGUUUGGCCUAUCUCACCAUUUUUGGUUAAGAGGCUUAAAAUUACCCUUUUUUGCGCAUUUUUAACGGUACAUAAUUUUUUUUUAUUCUUUUAUCCUAAUUCCAAAAUUCUUAUUAGAUCCGUC